UAUUCAUUUAUUUAAUGAAACGUUAUUGAAAGAGUUUGAAGCUUACUUGACAACACAUUUCAUUCAUAGCGUAUAAAAACGAUAUAGAUACUGGACAUAUUGGACAACAACUUUCCUUCUUCUUUAUAUUUUUUUUAUUUUGUUAAAUUAUUGAGUGUGAAGCUUACUGGACAUCUUUCACCAUCGCAAUUCUGAUAAAUUAUAUAUAUUUUUUAAAAUAUAAAAUACCACAAUGUAUAAACAGAGCAUUGUUAAUUGUGUCAACGUAUUUCUUCUCUUUAACUCAUUAUCAUGAAAUAUUUUGGAGGUAGAAAUCAAAUUUGGAAAAUAUCAAAAAUGACAUUUUCAGCCAUCCAUGGUCUUGACUACUUGUGAAAUGCAACAAAUUAUCAUCAGGUUGUGAUUAUUCUGGUUUUUUAGGCAGCAGGCGAACAUUUGUUUCUAUAGUUUAACCAUCAUGAAAUGUUUUACAGGGUAAAGUACAGAUAAGUACUGAAAAUACCCAAUGUCUAAAACUCUGGAUUGUAUAUUUUUGCAGCAGUCUGGAAGUCCUGAUGUUACACACACUGUAUAAUUUGGCACAAACUAUAUUGGUGUUUUCCUGGUCAGUGACUCAGCCCUGUUCCUGAACCACAUAAAAUAAGUUGGUGGUUGUAGAUUUAAAACCAUUUGAAUAUCUCUUUUCACUUGUUUGGAACAAUGUCCAUGCUGAAGAGAUCAGUGUUUGUGGGUUUUGUCCUGUUUGUAUUGGUUCCUCUGAUCCAUGCUGGCUGCUGGUCACAGAAAUUGAGAUUAGGUA